ensembl:lncRNA
AUUAUAACGUAACGUGACACGUCAUACUCUGUACUGAUUCUUUAUCAAGUGUUUUGCAUGUAACAACAGCUAGUUAUGAGCAACUCCACAAGCUUAUACCAGGCAUUAUAAGGUGUCAUAUACGCUAUAUAACAUUUCAUAAAUGCAUAUCUUAUGAAUACAGGAUUCCAAAGAAAUGGUUCCAAAAUGUGUUGGUUAAAAAAAUGUUUCAUCAGUUUCAAGUGUAACGUGAUUGGGCAUCACAGUGUCUUUAUUGUGUUAUAA